CACAGUUGGACAUAUGAUACGGCGUGUAGCGGUCGAUGAGUGGUGUUUAGAGUUAAAGUACAAGUCUUGCACAAAGUCUCCAACUUUUAAUUAAUAUCUUCUAUAGUUUGACGUGCGUAGAAUUGAUUCAAUUUUGGUUCACAUUUUGGUUCCAAUUUAUUGGAGUUGACGACUUAUGAAAUGUACAACUAAAAUCUUUACAAUAACACUCGGCAACAAAACUGUAGAAAAGAAAUUCUGGUGUAUAAGUCACGAAAACAGUUGACGGGACUGCGAUUUACCGGAGGGACACAAGUGCAAACAUUACCAACAGAUUUCACAAUUACACAGAUUAUUAAAACAAAAUAGAAAAUUGAUAUUAACAAUGUUGCCAUCUUCUGUACUUGAUUUAACGUCGCAGAUAAGUAAAAAAAUAAUACAACAGUUAAUACAGGAAAUAAUAAUAAAGAGAAAUAACAAAGAAAUGGAACACAGGCAUUAUACGCAACAGAAUACCGAAAUGCCUCAAGGAACAGCACAACUUACACCAGAUCAUCUUAUUUCAAACUCUAAAACCA